rnacentral:lncRNA from 1 species
UUUGUCAUGUCAUCUUUAUUGUUGACCAUCAUACAACUGUAGAAAAAAGCAAACACAUUUAUGCAUUUACAAUGUAUUGUGCCAGUUAAGUAUGGAUGACAUCUGUGACUGUGACCUGACCACUCACCAGACCCGCUCGAGUUUCAUCUCUAGCAGUUUUCUGUUACACGAAAAUAAGCUAAUCAACAGUAGCCAAUCACGUCAAAGCAUAUUUUGAAGAACAGAAUUACCACCCAAUCAAAUUUUAGCAUCGAUCAGGUAGCAGUUAGUGAAGGUGGGACCUGCUGUGACCUCAGUUUUGCGUUAUACUGUCUUGCUCAAUGGUCUUGCUGCAGUGACAGUGAACGCGAGGGAUAUGAAGUAGGAUGUGAAAACAAUUUACUAUAAAAACUUCAAUGAACAUUACAAGAGACUCCACUACCAGACUCGCCAGGAUCUCCUCCUCAGACAUCUGGUCAAUAAUAUGGGAAUCAUAGGCCACAGCGAUAGACACUUCUUCCAUCAUUUUGGCAGGGAUAUGGAGGGAAAAACACACUUAAAGGAGACAGAAGCAUUUGCAGUCAGCUACAAGAUACAGAAACGGAUACACUUGACUUGACAGGAAACAUUUCAAGCAUUGAAAUAAUUUGAUCUUUAUAUACAGAUAUUCGUAUAGAUGUGAAAUGGCUUUUAUUACUCUGAUCACAAUUGACCAAUUUUAUAAAAGUCUACAGGCAUUUA